rnacentral:rRNA from 1 species
UACGGAGGGGGCGAGCGUUAUUCGGAAUCAUUGGGCGUAAAGGGUGCGUAGGCGGGUCUUUAAGUCAGGGGUGAAAUCCUGGAGCUCAACUCCAGAACUGCCUUUGAUACUGAAGAUCUCGAGACCGGAAGAGGUAAGUGGAACUGCGAGUGUAGAGGUGAAAUUCGUAGAUAUUCGCAAGAACACCAGUGGCGAAGGCGGCUUACUGGUCCGGUUCUGACGCUGAGGCGCGAAAGCGUGGGGAGCAAACAGG